rnacentral:lncRNA from 1 species
CUCGGAGUCAGGAGGACCUAUCUUCUCGAGUUCAAAUCUGACCUUAGACACUUACUAACUGUGUGACCCUGGGCAAGUCACUAAAGCCUGCUUGCCUCAGCUUCCUCAUCGGUAAAAUGGGCUGGAGAAGGACAUGACAAACCACUUCAGUAUCUCUGCCAAGAAAACCCCAAAUGGGGUCGUGAAGAAUCAGACAACACUGAAAAAUGACCAAAUAACAGCUUUAUUUUACAGAUGAGCAAACUGAGCCCCAGACAGAAGAAGUGAUUUGCCCACGACCACACUAUUAAGUCACUGAGGCUGAAUUUGAACUCAGAUCUCCUGAUUUCUGCUACACUUCUGGGGGAAUGGAGGGAAGGACAGUCAGAGAACCCUGUCAGAAGGACUGACUCUCAGAACAGGGAGGGGUCUCAAGGAACUAACAGCAGCUCUGGAGGCGACCCUGGGCAGCAAUGGUUCUAGAGAGCUCUGUGGGGAAGUCCUUCCUUGCGUCAAGCUGAAGCCUACAUCUCUGCCAUUUCAGCUCGCUGUUUCUAGGCCUGUCCUCUAGCCAAGGCCCCACGGGAGAGAUGGGGCAGGCUCAGACCAAAGCUCCGGGGAGACAGAGGCUGAGAGCAGGAUGGAUUUGACCUUGUCUGCCCGGGGAUCUGUUCCAUGACUAAAAAGACGAGGAAACUGAGGCACAGAGAUAAUGUCAAACCAGUGACUCUAAAUCCAAGGCUCUUUCCCACUCUCCCAGGGACUGAAGCUCACAACCUUGGCCUGAGGAAAGAAAAAAAAAAAGGACAAGCCAAAUCCUUGAAAAAUGCCCUCAGUACCCGGUUCUAGAGUAGGCUCUCUAUUUGAGGAGCUUACCACGACUGCCCUACUCUUGGGAAGACAGACUGAAACCCAAGCCAUAGCAAGGACCCUGGAAGAGGGAGGGGUCGAGGCGCUGAUCAGAGCAGGAAACCACACCUCCAUCUAAUGACAAUCAGGUUAGUAGGGUGACAGCUUCAGAGAUCUACCUCCCCCACCCUUAGCUAGAACACACACACACACACAUAACACGGCAGGGGUGGUCUGGCUCCUGGAGCUGCUAAC